UCACAACUGGACCAUCAGGAGUAUUGUGGCUUGCGCAUCACAAAUUAUGGCCCUUAGUGGCAUGGGUCAUGAGUACAUAGCAUCCACAACAGAGGCUUGGGACCUAUCAAGCUUGCCCACGAGGUUCAUAACAUUCACAGCUAUCUCAUCAAGCAGCCCACCCUUUUGUUUUCAGCACAUAGAUGAGAAAAUGCAU